UGAACAUAUUUAUUUAGAUAUUUGAAAGAUAAACUGUGCAAGCUUUAUAUUUGAUGUGCAGGGAGUUAUAUACGGAAUACGCAUUAUGGUAGUGGGAUCGCUGUGACUGAUUCUCAGUGUUCGGCUGAUGAAAAUUUGGCUGAAAGAGAUUUGAAAGUGAUGAUGAAAACAAAAUCAAGUUAGUCUGUGCUUUCAUUAGUUUGAAAUUAUUAAGUAGCAUGGCUUUUACUCAACUCUUCUACGCUUAUUUUAAACAUUGAAUAAUACAUUUGUCAUUAAGAGAAUGAGGGGGAAGAAAAGGGCAGAAACCCAGCAAUUGCUGCUUAACACCCACUGAGGCAAAAAUGAAACACAUGCUAUGUAUUUUAAUACGUAUUCCUCUAUUCUUAUAAUGUUAAAUGAUUUCGAAAAAGCAAGAGAGAAUAUUGUGGUUAAAAGCAAAAUUUAUGAAAGUAAUCUUUCAUAUGAAAGAAAUNAGUUUUUAAUAUUAGUAUAAUUAAGAAUAACAUGAAGUAAAAAAAAAUGUAUGAUUGUAACUUACCUUAUUACACACUGUAUUGAAUUAUAAAUUCUGACUGAGCACUGUUGGCAUACAGUUUUUAAAAAUCAAAGUGUUACUGAUGUCCAUUUGAGUUAAAAGCUUAUUAAAUCAAAAUGGGAUCAAUUAAAAACUGAAAUACAGAAUUNNNNNNNNNNNNNNNNNNNNNNNNNNNNNNNNNNNNNNNNNNNNNNUUUCUGCACUUCAUAUUUACUGUAAGCACUCAUGUAUAGAGAUAUAAUUAUUAGAAUAUAUAAUAUGGAACGUACUCUUACCUGUUUUCUGGUUCACUGUUAGCAGUUCUUCAUGUGUGAAGGGCUAGCAGUGUCUCUUGCGAGCACCAAGUUCAUUCUUUAACCAGCUGUGAGAGGGGGUUUCUGUAUCAACAAGCUGCUGUCUCUACUCUCUUUACUUGAAUGGUGUACAUAAUGGCCUGCUCUGACAGUGAACAUUUUAUAUAAUGAGUUUUCUAAAUUCCUUACUUUCUUUUAAUUCAUCAGAUUAAUUUGUUUACACUAGCUGUUAAUACUGACUUUAUAAGAGUUUAAAUAACCUAAUUGUAAAAGAAAAACAUUUUGAUGUUUUGGAAGAGUUUUUACAGAGGCCAAAAUAUUUGUCUCCCAUAUGAAAAAUAAUUGGUAAAUUAAAUACUACUUCUUAAUAUAGAAAACUAAUUUUUUCCUUGAAUAGAAUUGUGUAAACCAUCUUCAAGCCGCCUUUAAAUCAUACAAAACACGAUUUUUGUAUAGUUUUUCAAAGUCUAGCUGUUUUUUAAA
rnacentral:lncRNA from 1 species